rnacentral:rRNA from 1 species
CCUACGGGUGGCAGCAGUAGGGAAUAUUGCUCAAUGGGGGAAACUCUGAAGCAGCAACGCCGCGUGGAGGAUGAAGGUUUUAUGAUUGUUAACUCCUUUUUUUAGAGAAGUUUAUGACGGUAUCUAUCGCCUCCUCACUGGCUCACUCCGUGCCAGCCGCCGCGGUAAUACGGAGGGUGCAAGCGUUACUCGGAAUCACUGGGCGUAAAGAGUGCGUAGGCGGGGUAAUAAGUCAGAUGUGAAAUCCUGUAGCUUAACUACAGAACUGCAUUUGAAACUGUUACUCUGGAGUGUGGGAGAGGUAGGUGGAAUGCGUGGUGUAGGGGUGAAAUGCGUAGAGAUCAAGAAGAAUACUGAUUGCGAAGGCAACCUGCUGGAACACGACUGACGCUGAUGCACGAAAGCGUGGGGAGCAAACAGGAUUAGAUACCCUAGUAGUC